ensembl:lncRNA THBS3-AS1 THBS3 antisense RNA 1
AGGGGGUCGACCACAGCAUCAUUGUCAAAGUCAUCCUCACACACAUCACCAACGCCAUUGCCUGGGCAGAGUGAGGCUGGGUGCUCAGGAAGGCCCUGGCCACUGCCAUUAGGCAACAAUACCAUCUGUUGGGCCUGCAUUCCUGACAUCUUUCCCCACCUUGCCCUUCCUCACUUCCCAACAGGGCUUGCUGCCUCCACCUGGGCAAAGGCAACACCAGUCUAACGUGCUCUGGGUCCGCAGGCUUACCAUCUGAGUCCUUCUGAUUGGGAUUGGGUACCAGGCGGCAGUUAUCGGGACCAGGAGGCACAUAAUCUGGGAUGCCAUCAUUGUCAUCAUCCCCAUCACACUCAUCUCCAAGUCCAUCGUUAUCAGAGUCCAGCUGGGAGCUAUUUGGCAGCUGUGGGCAGUUGUCCUUGGUGUCCUGAUGCCCAUCCCCAUCGCUAAUCAGAAGAACAGGUUGGUGAAAGUCCCGAACUUUGUCUCCCCACCCAGAGGACAACUGGCCAGGAAAUCUGCCUGUUUCUUGUCUCACCCUCUAGUCCACACUCUGCCUAACACUA